GACGAACGCUGGCGGCGUGCUUAACACAUGCGAGUCGAACGAAGAGCGACGGAAGCUUGCUUCUAUCAAUCUUAGUGGCGAACGGGUGAGUAACGCGUAAUCAACCUGCCCUUCAGAGGGGGACAACAGUUGGAAACGACUGCUAAUACCGCAUACGAUCUAAUCUCGGCAUCGAGGAUAGAUGAAAGGUGGCCUCUACAUGUAAGCUAUCACUGAAGGAGGGGAUUGCGUCUGAUUAGCUAGUUGGAGGGGUAACGGCCCACCAAGGCGAUGAUCAGUAGCCGGUCUGAGAGGAUGAACGGCCACAUUGGGACUGAGACACGGCCCAGACUCCUACGGGAGGCAGCAGUGGGGAAUCUUCCGCAAUGGACGAAAGUCUGACGGAGCAACGCCGCGUGAGUGAUGACGGCCUUCGGGUUGUAAAGCUCUGUUAAUCGGGACGAAAGGCCUCCUUGCGAAUAGUGAGAAGGAUUGACGGUACCGGAAUAGAAAGCCACGGCUAACUACGUG
rnacentral:rRNA from 1 species